UAGUAACUGCGAGUGAAGCGGGAAGAGCUCAAAUUUCGAAUCUGGCAGUCUUUGGCUGUCCGAGUUGUAAUCUAGAGAAGCGUUUUCCGUGCUGGGACCGUGUACAAGUCUCCUGGAAGGGAGCGUCAUAGAGGGUGAGAAUCCCGUCUCUGACACGGGCACUGCCAGCGCCAUGUGAUGCGCUCUCGACGAGUCGAGUUGUUUGGGAAUGCAGCUCAAAAUGGGUGGUAAACUCCAUCUAAAGCUAAAUACUGGCGAGAGACCGAUAGCGAACAAGUACCGUGAGGGAAAGAUGAAAAGAACUUUGGAAAGAGAGUUAAACAGUACGUGAAAUUGCUGAAAGGGAAACGCUCGAUGUCAGUCGCAUCGACCGGGGAUCAACCUUGCUUCUCGCUGGGUGUACUUUCCGGUCGAUGGGUCAGCAUCAGUUUCGGUCGCCGUACAAGGGUGAGAGGAACGUGGCACUNUUCGGGGUGUGUUAUAGCCUUUCAU
rnacentral:rRNA from 1 species